rnacentral:rRNA from 2 species
ACGAAGAAAAACUUUGCAAAUGUGACGAAAAGCACGACAAAGGUUAAUCCGAGUGAUUCCUGCUAAAGGAAUCUUUUGUUAGUCGUAAAAACCACUGAUGAAUAAGGGGUGGGCAAGUUCUGGUGUCAGCCGCCGCGGUAAAACCAGCACCUCAAGUGGUCAGGAGGAUUAUUGGGCCUAAAGCAUCCGUAGCCUGCUCUGUAAGUUUCCGGUUAAAAUCCAUUCGCUCAACUGAUGGGCUGCCGGAAAAACUGCAAAGCUAGGGAGUGGGAGAGGUAGACGGUACUCGGUAGGAAGGGGUAAAAUCCUUUGAUCUAUUGAUGACCACCUGUGGCG